CAGGGGCUCACUGGUUCACACAGGCACUGCUUUUUUCUUAAGGAUGAGUAGCUGAAGAUGAAGAUGAAGAUAAUAACUGAGGAACCGAGACCUGCUCCAGCAAAACACCUAAGCAUACAAUGAAGUAUUCUUUUGAUCAAGAGCUGAGAUACUUCAAAGAGAGAUGUAUUAUGGCAUCAUGGAGAAAGCUAAUGUGUAACACCAUCCAAGAGUUCUCCAGUCCAACAGCAGAGCCAGGCACUGCUGUACUGUCUUUGAUGACAGCGUGCUAAUCCUGCAGAGCCGCAUAUUUGGCUGAC